UAUAUACUCCCUCCAUUCGGAAUUACUUGUCGUAAAAAUGAAUGUAUCUAGACGUAUUUUCAUUCUAGAUACAUCCAUUUUCAAGAUAAGUAAUUCCGAACGGAGGGAGUGCAUU
rnacentral:pre_miRNA from 1 species